ACCUGGCUGGCUCAGUUGAUAGAGCAUGACUCUUGAUAUUAGGGCUGUGAGUUCAAGCCCCACGUUAGGUG
rnacentral:tRNA from 1 species